ACGUAGGGUGCAAGCGUUGUCCGGAAUUAUUGGGCGUAAAGAGCUCGUAGGCGGUUUGUCGCGUCGGCUGUGAAAGCCCGGAGCUCAACUCCGGGUCUGCAGUCGAUACGGGCAGACUUGAGUGUUGCAGGGGAGACUGGAAUUCCUGGUGUAGCGGUGAAAUGCGCAGAUAUCAGGAGGAACACCGGUGGCGAAGGCGGGUCUCUGGGCAACAACUGACGCUGAGGAGCGAAAGCGUGGGGAGCGAACAGG
rnacentral:rRNA from 1 species